rnacentral:sRNA from 1 species
AUAUAGUCGAUUUGGCUAAAGAUGUGGCCGAACGAACAAAAUUUACCUAUACGGAAGAGCCCACAGUCUACUGUACGGAUAUUGGGAAAAUUAUUGUUGACAACACUGCGCUAGCUUUCUGCAUAUCGAAAGGAUAUGGUUUUGAGGUUUUCAACGGUGUACAGGCGGUGUUUAAAGUGCCAAGACAUGAGAGCAAGAUCAUCCCGGCCGCCAUCAACCCAGAUAGUUAUUAUACUUAAUUAUUUAAAGA